rnacentral:lncRNA from 10 species
CUGCAGGCCCCGCCCACCAGCCCGGGUCCACCCGCGAGGCGCGGGGCACAGGCUUGGCAGAUGCACACGAGGAAGAGGAAGGGAUCCUCGCAAGCUUUGAAAGGCGCCGUCAAGUCAAAUAAAUAAAUGCCCUACAACACCAACCCAGGACUGAGAUCUGCAUGCUGGAAUGACGGUGGUGGUGGUGGCUUUCAGUAUUCCCCAGGUUUUGUCCGGAGCACCGGCACGCCCUCUCUUGAAGUCCGCUCUCCGCACAGGUCUUCUUUACCCUUCUCCCCAGGGAUAAACAACACAAAACCAAGUCAUCUUUACGCAAAUAACUAGUUUCUUUCAGAGACUACUAAGAAAGCGUUAAUUUCCUCUUUUUAACUUGAUUAGUGGUUAGACGGGAAGAUCCGGAGCUGUCCAGUGUCUUGGGUAAUGCACGGCAUCGCCUGAUGUCUGACGCUAGAACACCACGUAAAGUCAAGCAGAGGGAAGUGAAUGCGCCCUAGGCCCCUGCAGGCCACCAAGAAGAGCUAGAGGGAGUUGGUGCAAUCCUAGAGAUGCCGGCAGGUGCACCAAUCUGUGGCACACGUACGCUCUCCAAUGGAAGACAACUCAAGACCACACCAAGUUUGUAUUAAAAAAGUACUGUUGUGUUACUUUUUACCAACCUCCAAUCAUUAUACAAAAUGUUAAAAAAUACACAAACACACACACACACUCACAGCCAUAGAGGUUAUCGCAAAAGAUCAACCCAGAAUCUUUCAGAAUAUGACAGAUGCACUGAGAAGGCAGAUAAAUUGAUUCAAUAUACAAAAGGCCUCUUUCCUAUGGAAUUUCAUUAGAUUAAAUAAGGUGUUCCCUCCUCACAGCCUCAUCCUUAUGAGCAAUCAUAUAAAUAAUCUAUUUAAAGUCCUUGAACUAUAACUUGUAUAAUUUUUAGUUUUCCCCCUUUGAAGGGGCCUAAGAGAAAGGUUUGAGAAACCAGCUCUUGAGGGGGGCAGGGGUGAGGGGUAAGAGGUCCUGUGCCUUUCAUUCAUCCUGGGAGCUUCUCAGGAUUGCAGCAUUUCCACCUGAGUGUUCAUUCUUGUACAUUUUCUCAUCUUUCUCCUGGGUUCCUAGGAUCUUGGAGAUUACCUAGUCCAAUCCUUUUACUUCAGAAACAAAAAACCUGAGGCUCAGAAAGGCUAAGUCAAAUGCCUAGGGUCACACAGGGAAACUGUGGGAGUUGGAUCCCUGAGUCCCAGUCCUUAAACUGGUUGCUACAUGACAUUCUAGAACCUCUCCCCACCAACUCCCUUUUUAAAGACAGGGUCUGGUUCUGUCACCCAGGCUGAAGUGCAGUGACAUGAUCUUGGCUCACUGCAACCUCCGCUUCCUGGGCUCAAGCCAUUCUCCCACCUCAGCCUCCCAAGUAGCUGGGACAACAGGCACAUGCCACUACGCCCAGUUAAUUUUUCUAAUUUUGUUUUGUAGAGACAGAUUUGCCAUGUUGCCCAGGCUGGUCUCGAAUUACUGGCCUCAAGCGAUACGCCUGUUUAGGCAUCCCAAAGUGCUGGGGUUACCGGCAGGAGCAAUUGCUCCGGGCCAGACUUCCCUUCCCCCGCCCACACCCCCCCAACCCGGCCUAGAUCCACAGGCACUGUAAUCACAGCUGACACACUCGACUCGGAAUCAGCAUAGAGAGCACUCUGAAAAUUGUCAAAUAGGGUCCCUGAAACUUGUAUACCAUACUUCUCCUGAAGAUCUUGAAGCAUCUUUGUGUUUGCUUUUUUUUUUUUUAACUUAAAAUAUGGCAUUCAGGUUUUAUCCCUCUCCCCGACGCCAUGUUUCCUUUCUGUAUUAGUCACACACGUGAUCCUAAAGUCUGUCUUCCCCACUUUAACUGGGGAGGGCUGGACAAGGUGGAAUUCCAAUUGCAGGAGACAGGAUGUGACAUGGGUGAGGUGCCCAAGGCUCACCGACUGAAACUUCGAUGGCUCUUCCCUGUUUCCUUGUGCAGGGCCCCCCUUCUCUCCACUGCUCACCUGGCUCUCCUCCUCCCUUCCUGCCUGCUUUGCAGCUCUUGCUACUAUUUUCCUUUUCUUUCCCUGCUCCCACCCUGGCCCAAUUUAUUUCACAGAAAUAUCACAGGGCCAGCCAGGCACAGCGGCUCACCCCUGUAAUCCCAGCACUUUACGAGGCUGAGGAGGGCAGAUCACUUGAGGUCAGGAGUUUGAGACCAGCCUGGCCAACAUGGUAAAAUCCUGUCUCUACUAAAAAUACAAAAAUUUGCUAGGCAUGGUGGCAGGCGCCUGUAAUCCCAGCUACUUGCGAGGGAGGCUGAGGCAGGAGAAUCACUUGAACCUGGGAGGCGGAUGUUGCAGUGAGCCAAGAUCACACCAUUGCGCUCCAGCUUGGGCGACAGAACGAGACUCUGUCUC